rnacentral:misc_RNA from 1 species
GAUGAAGAACGCAGCGAAAUGCGAUAAGUAGUGUGAAUUGCAGAAUUCAGUGAAUCAUCGAAUCUUUGAACGCACCUUGCGCUCCUUGGUAUUCCGAGGAGCAUGCCUGUUUGAGUGUCAUUAAAUUCUCAAUCCUAGCAAGGGGUUUAUUCUCAGCUAGGCUUGGAUAUGGGGGUUUUGCCGGCUUUGUAAAGAGUCAGCUCUCCUGAAAAACAUUAGCAAGACUGUUAUUGCAACCUUCUAUUUGGCGUGAUAAUUAUCUACAUCAUAGAUUGUGUGCAUCAUGCGUCUGGCUUCUAACAGUCCAUUGAAUUGGACAAAACUCUGACAAUUUGACCUCAAAUCAGGUAGGACUACCCGCUGAACUUAAGCAUAUCAAUAAGCGGAGGA